GACUUAAAAAAUCCGUUGGCUUUAUUGACCGUGAGGGUUCAAGUCCCUCUACCCCCA
rnacentral:tRNA from 3 species